rnacentral:sRNA from 1 species
UUGUCUAUGUAUGCAAUGUAUAGUGUUC